rnacentral:rRNA from 1 species
GAUGAACGCUAGCAGAACGCUUAACACAUGCAAGUCGAACGGUGAACGAGGAAGCUUGCUCCCUCCGGAUCAGUGGCGAACGGGUGAGUAACACGUGAGCAAUCUGCCCUGGACUCUGGGAUAAGCGUUGGAAACGACGUCUAAUACCGGAUACGAGGCGUGGGGGCAUCCCCAACGCCUGGAAAGAAUUUCGGUCCAGGAUGAGCUCGCGGCCUAUCAGGUAGUUGGUGAGGUAAUGGCUCACCAAGCCUACGACGGGUAGCCGGCCUGAGAGGGUGACCGGCCACACUGGGACUGAGACACGGCCCAGACUCCGACGGGAGGCAGCAGUGGGGAAUAUUGCACAAUGGGCGAAAGCAUGAUGCAGCAACGCCGCGUGAGGGACGACGGCCUUCGGGUUGUAAACCUCUUUUAGCAGGGAAGAAGCGAAAGUGACGGUACCUGCAGAAAAAGCACCGGCUAACUACGUGCCAGCCGCCGCCGUAA